UACGUAGGGCGCAAACGUUAUCCGGAAUUAUUGGGCGUAAAGAGCUCGUAGGCGGUUUGUCGCGUCUGCCGUGAAAGUCCGGGGCUCAACUCCGGAUCUGCGGUGGGUACGGGCAGACUAGAGUGAUGUAGGGGAGACUGGAAUUCCUGGUGUAGCGGUGAAAUGCGCAGAUAUCAGGAGGAACACCGAUGGCGAAGGCAGGUCUCUGGGCAUUAACUGACGCUGAGGAGCGAAAGCGUGGGGAGCGAACAGG
rnacentral:rRNA from 1 species